rnacentral:rRNA from 1 species
GAUGAACGCUGGCGGCGUGCCUAAUACAUGCAAGUCGAGCGAACAGACGAGGAGCUUGCUCCUCUGACGUUAGCGGCGGACGGGUGAGUAACACGUGGAUAACCUACCUAUAAGACUGGGAUAACUUCGGGAAACCGGAGCUAAUACCGGAUAAUAUAUUGAACCGCAUGGUUCAAUAGUGAAAGACGGUUUUGCUGUCACUUAUAGAUGGAUCCGCGCCGCAUUAGCUAGUUGGUAAGGUAACGGCUUACCAAGGCAACGAUGCGUAGCCGACCUGAGAGGGUGAUCGGCCACACGGGAACUGAGACACGGUCCAGACUACUACGGGAGGCAGCAGUAGGGAAUCUUCCGCAAUGGGCGAAAGCCUGACGGAGCAACGCCGCGUGAGUGAUGAAGGUCUUCGGAUCGUAAAACUCUGUUAUUAGGGAAGAACAAAUGUGUAAGUAACUAUGCACGUCUUGACGGUACCUAAUCAGAAAGCCACGGCUAACUACGUG